CAUCAGCUAUAAAUAUAAGAGGUGAGCUGAAACAAUUUAAAUUCAUUGUUGCGUCGACUUUAGCAUUUAAUUUAAGACAUUAAUCGGUAAUUCAUUUAACCCUGAUCUUAAUUUAUACGCAGUUGUAUUGGUAAUGGUUAUAUAGAUGGUAUCUUGUAAAAAAAAAGAAAUAACCGUCGUCGUCGGUACGGUGUGAAAAUGUAAAUGAAAAAAUUACUUUGCAAUGUUUAUAAAAAAACGCACAAUUUAGGUGUUUAGUGGUUUCUCACACACUGUCUGGGGAUUAGAAAUGAUUCAUUAAGCUAUUGAGAACGAUGGAAGAAGAAACAGUUUUUAUGAUAAUUGAUUGGAUAGACGCAAGACAUUUGGCGGUGAAUUAUGGCUUUUAUUCAAGGAUUUUUCACGUUUUUGUGCAGACGUCGCGUUGUAUACACGAGAGUAUUACCUAUUUGAGUUACACAUUUCCACCUCAUCUCUACCUGGGUAUGUAUUUAACAAUUGCUUUUGAAUUAAUAUGGAAAUUGUGGAAGUGAGCCGUUUAGGAGGUGUUUUCAAAAUGACUGUAAUUAAUUUGCUGUUAAUGUAUGGCAUUAAAAGUUAAUGUACAAUAUGUUAUCUCCAUUUUAUAAUUACAAUUCGGAUAAAACGUUUCGUUUAAAUGAUUCGGAUGGAUGAUAAUCUUUCGAGAAAUUUCUUUUUGAAAUUUAUAUUACAAAGUGAAUUUGCAUAUUUUAAAUACAAUGGCAUUUUGCUCAAAUAAAUAGACAAAAAUAUUGUUUGAAUCGUUUGCAUAUUAAU